GACGAAGGGGGCUAGCGUUGUUCGGAAUUACUGGGCGUAAAGCGCGUGUAGGCGGUUGCCCAAGUCGGGUGUGAAAGCCUUGAGCUCAACUCAAGAAAUGCACUCGGUACUGGGUGACUAGAGGACCGGAGAGGAUAGUGGAAUUCCCAGUGUAGUGGUGAAAUAACGUAGAGAUUGGGAAGAACACCAGUGGCGAAGGCAGCUCUCUGGGACGGUACUGACGCUGAGACGCGAAAGCGUGGGGAGCGAACAGG
rnacentral:rRNA from 1 species